rnacentral:rRNA from 1 species
AGCAGCCGCGGUAAUUCCAGCUCCAAUAGCGUAUAUUAAAGUUGUUGCAGUUAAAAAGCUCGUAGUUGAAUUUCGGGAUUGACACAUCGGUCGUGCCUUAAGGGGUGUGAACUGGUGUAGUCAAUUUCUCACCUUCUGGAGAACCGCGAUGUCCUUAAUUGGGUGCCGCGAGGAACCAGGACCUUUACUUUGAAAAAAUUAGAGUGUUUAAAGCAGGCAUUUUUGCUUGAAUACAUUAGCAUGGAAUAAUGAAAUAGGACGGCAUGAUUCUAUUUUGUUGGUUUCUAGGAUCACCGUAAUGAUUAAUAGGGAUAGUUGGGGGCAUUAGUAUUCAAUUGUCAGAGGUGAAAUUCUUGGAUUUAUUGAAGACUAACUACUGCGAAAGCAUUUGCCAAGGAUGUUUUCAUUAAUCAAGAACGAAAGUUAGGGGAUCGAAGACGAUCAGAUACCGUCGUAGUCUUAACCAUAAACUAUGCCGACUAGGAAUCAGACGAUGUUAAUUUUUUAAUGACUCGUUUGGCACCUUACG